AGCUAGCAGAGAGGAGACACAUCUGAAGCUAGAAGGGUGUAAUGGCAAGCGAUCAGUACUCAAUAUAUUUGAGGAUGCAGCCAUCAGUGAGCCUCUGAGAUGUGCUAGUUUGAACCAUGUUAGUUGAUUUCAUCAAGUACCAUGAACUGUGAAGCUGUAGUGUUACAGGAGAAAAACAGAUGUUCCCUGAAUGUUUUUUUUCCAGAGAAAAGCAAUUAUACUGCUAUUCGCUAGAAGCGACAUCUCAAGGGACUUCUGGGACCUAUGCCAUGGAUCCAAAGGACAAGGUUCUUCAACAUCAAUCAACUGAACUAUUAGGAGUGGAUUUUACUUCUACAUACUUGGAAUACCAGGAAUCCUUAAUUUCAUUGGAUUUUAAAGUUCUGAAACAGAUGAAGAGACAAAGGAAAAACAUAGGAGACAAAUGAUGUAAAUAAAUGCUAUAAAAUUAAC